rnacentral:rRNA from 1 species
AAGGCUAAAUACUCCUGACUGACCGAUAGUGAACCAGUACCGUGAGGGAAAGGCGAAAAGAACCCCGGCGAGGGGAGUGAAAAAGAACCUGAAACCGUGUACGUACAAGCAGUGGGAGCACGCUUAGGCGUGUGACUGCGUACCUUUUGUAUAAUGGGUCAGCGACUUAUAUUCUGUAGCAAGGUUAACCGAAUAGGGGAGCCGAAGGGAAACCGAGUCUUAACUGGGCGUUAAGUUGCAGGGUAUAGACCCGAAACCCGGUGAUCUAGCCAUGGGCAGGUUGAAGGUUGGGUAACACUAACUGGAGGACCGAACCGACUAAUGUUGAAAAAUUAGCGGAUGACUUGUGGCUGGGGGUGAAAGGCCAAUCAAACCGGGAGAUAGCUGGUUCUCCCCGAAAGCUAUUUAGGUAGCGCCUCGUGAAUUCAUCUCCGGGGGUAGAGCACUGUUUCGGCAAGGGGGUCAUCCCGACUUACCAACCCGAUGCAAACUGCGAAUACCGGAGAAUGUUAUCACGGGAGACACACGGCGGGUGCUAACGUCCGUCGUGAAGAGGGAAACAACCCAGACCGCCAGCUAAGGUCCCAAAGUCAUGGUUAAGUGGGAAACGAUGUGGGAAGGCCCAGACAGCCAGGAUGUUGGCUUAGAAGCAGCCAUCAUUUAAAGAAAGCGUAAUAGCUCACUGGUCGAGUCGGCCUGCGCGGAAGAUGUAACGGGGCUAAACCAUGCACCGAAGCUGCGGCAGCGACGCUGAUGCGUUGUUGGGUAGGGGAGCGUUCUGUAAGCCUGUGAAGGUGUGCUGUGAGGCAUGCUGGAGGUAUCAGAAGUGCGAAUGCUGACAUAAGUAACGAUAAAGCGGGUGAAAAGCCCGCUCGCCGGAAGACCAAGGGUUCCUGUCCAACGUUAAUCGGGGCAGGGUGAGUCGACCCCUAAGGCGAGGCCGAAAGGCGUAGUCGAUGGGAAACAGGUUAAUAUUCCUGUACUUGGUGUUACUGCGAAGGGGGGACGGAGAAGGCUAUGUUGGCCGGGCGACGGUUGUCCCGGUUUAAGCGUGUAGGCUGGUUUUCCAGGCAAAUCCGGAAAAUCAAGGCUGAGGCGUGAUGACGAGGCACUACGGUGCUGAAGCAACAAAUGCCCUGCUUCCAGGAAAAGCCUCUAAGCAUCAGGUAACAUCAAAUCGUACCCCAAACCGACACAGGUGGUCAGGUAGAGAAUACCAAGGCGCUUGAGAGAACUCGGGUGAAGGAACUAGGCAAAAUGGUGCCGUAACUUCGGGAGAAGGCACGCUGAUAUGUAGGUGAAGUCCCUCGCGGAUGGAGCUGAAAUCAGUCGAAGAUACCAGCUGGCUGCAACUGUUUAUUAAAAACACAGCACUGUGCAAACACGAAAGUGGACGUAUACGGUGUGACGCCUGCCCGGUGCCGGAAGGUUAAUUGAUGGGGUCAGCGCAAGCGAAGCUCUUGAUCGAAGCCCCGGUAAACGGCGGCCGUAACUAUAACGGUCCUAAGGUAGCGAAAUUCCUUGUCGGGUAAGUUCCGACCUGCACGAAUGGCGUAAUGAUGGCCAGGCUGUCUCCACCCGAGACUCAGUGAAAUUGAACUCGCUGUGAAGAUGCAGUGUACCCGCGGCAAGACGGAAAGACCCCGUGAACCUUUACUAUAGCUUGACACUGAACAUUGAGCCUUGAUGUGUAGGAUAGGUGGGAGGCUUUGAAGUGUGG